rnacentral:miRNA from 1 species
GGGGACAGAGAGCUCAGUCGGUAG